UACGGAGGGUGCAAGCGUUAUCCGGAUUCACUGGGCUUAAAGCGUGCGUAGGCGGGCAGGAAAGUCAGAAGUGAAAGCCCCGGGCUUAACCCGGGAACUGCUUUUGAAACUUCCUGUCUAGAAACCGGAAGAGGUUAGCGGAAUACCCAGUGUAGAGGUGAAAUUCGCAGAUAUUGGGUGGAACACCAGUGGCGAAGGCGGCUAACUGGUCCGGUAUUGACGCUGAGGCACGAAAGCGUGGGUAGCAAACAGG
rnacentral:rRNA from 1 species